AUUGAACGCUGGCGGCAUGCCUUACACAUGCAAGUCGAACGGCAGCACGGGGCAACCUGGUGGCGAGUGGCGAACGGGUGAGUAAUGCAUCGGAACGUACCUUUCAGGGGGGGAUAACGUAGCGAAAGUUACGCUAAUACCGCAUAUUCUGUGAGCAGGAAAGCAGGGGACCGCAAGACCUUGCGCUGAUUGAGCGGCUGAUGUCGGAUUAGCUAGUUGGGGAGGUAAAGGCCAACCAAGGCGACGAUCUGUAGCGGGUCUGAGAGGAUGAUCCGCCACACUGGAACUGAGACACGGUCCAGACUCCUACGGGAGGCAGCAGUGGGGAAUUUUGGACAAGGGGGGCAACCCUGAUCCAGCCAUGCCGCGUGAGUGAAGAAGGCCUUCGGGUUGUAAAGCUCUUUCGGCCGGGAAGAAAUCGCACGGGCUAAUACCCUGUGUGGAUGACGGUACCGGAAUAAGAAGCACCGGCUAACUACGUGCCAGCCGCCGCCGUAAGAC
rnacentral:rRNA from 1 species